AUAAAGGGCAAACAUUAAAAAAAGCUCACCAGAAAGUGUUAAAUUAUCGUAAUGCGAUAUAAGGUCAUCCAUUUUAUAAAGCGCCUUUUUCAAGUAGAUCAUUUACGUGCUACAGUAUAUUCAAAAAUAAAACGCACAAGUUCUGUAAUCCAUAUUUUUAAUAAAAUGUAUGUUUUUUUUCAUUAAAGAUGUAAAAAUUAGGAA